rnacentral:rRNA from 1 species
UACAGGUGUUGCAUGGCUGUCGUCAGCUCGUGUCGUGAGAUGUCGGUUAAGUCCGCUAACGAGCGCAACCCUCGUCGUAUGUUAUAUGUGUCAUACGAGACUGCCGGUAAAAGCCGGAGGAAGGUGAGGAUGAUGUCAAGUCAGCAUGACCCUUUAUAUCCAGGGCUACACACACGCUACAAUGGUCUGUACAAUGGGUAGCCAAGCCGCGAGGCGGAGCCAAUCCUGAAAGCAGGCCUCAGUUCAGAUUGCAGUCUGCAACUCGACUGCAUGAAGCCGGAGUUGCUAAGUAACCGCAGGUCAGCAAUACUGCGGUGAAUACCGGUUCCCGGGUCUU